rnacentral:tRNA from 1 species
AUCUGAGUAGUGUAGUGGUUAUCACGUUUGCUUUACACGCAAAAGGUAUUCGGUUCGAACCCGGUUCGGGUA